AUUCCAGCUCCAAUAGCGUACAUUAAAGUUGUUGCAGUUAAAAAGCUCGUAGUUGAACUUCUGGCUAUUCUUCCAGCUGGCUUCGGUCGCUGUAAGAGUGGUCAUCCGCUUGGGAACUACGUUCGAACUUCACUGUUCGGCGUAAGGAACAGGCAUUUUACUUAGAAAAAAUUAGAGUGUUCAAGGCAGGCUAUCGCCCUGAAUACACAAGCUCGGAAUAAUGAAAUGGGACUAUUUCCAUUUUAUUGGUUAUUGGAAUUAGUAAUGAUUAAUAGGGACAGUUGGGGACAUUAGUAUUUAAUUGUCAGAGGUGAAAUUCUUGGAUUUAUUAAAGACUAACUUAUGCGAAAGCAUUUGUCAAGGAUGUUUUCAUCA
rnacentral:rRNA from 1 species